GUGCUGAAUUCAUUUUGGGCACGACAGUCUAGCAGGAAGGGUGUUUUUAUACUUCUCUUCAUAUCAGUUUAAUAUAAUCAGCAAACUUUCCAGUUCUAUACACGGCAUAUACGUUAUGCUGAAUAUGGUACAACUUUUCUGAGGUCCUCUCCCUGUGGUCUACUGCAGUUAUUCUGAUGUAACCAGUGUAUGCCGGACGUGAAGAGUAAUGUUAUAGCACUAGGACAUCCAAGUUCCAGGAGUGGUUACACCGGUCAAGGGACCCCACAGAGGUCUUAAGAUUAUCGUGGACAUGGACACUUGUGAAAUUAGGACCAUGUUCACAUAAGACAUCUUGUACAUAAUAAACUCUUUAUAACUAUAUUGUACAUAAUGAACUAUUUAUAACUAUAUUGUGAUUUUUUUUUAAAUGUGUUAGCUUGGCAUGGUUCCGAAUUUGGAGUUGCUUAUUUCUGUUUGGGUUUAUUGUUCAACUACCGUAAGUUACCAUUUUGUUAUUGCUGAAAUUCUCUUUCAAUUAUUAAUUAUAAAUACAUAUUUUCAAUUU